GGUUCGAUGGCGUAGUUGGUAGUCGCAUCUGUCAAAUAACGUGGCGCGACGCUGUCAGUGUUCCGUUGACAGCGCCGCGCUAUGGGACACAGAAGGUCCUCAGUUCGAGCCUGAGUCGAAUCA